AACAAACGCUGGCGGCGUGCCUAAUACAUGCAAGUCGAACGGGGAAAGCUUUCGGGUGAGUACUAGUGGCGCACGGGUGAGUAACGCGUGGAUAAUCUGCCUUAGAGUGGGGGAUCACUAGUCGAAAGAUUAGCUAAUACCGCAUAAGACCACAAGAACUGCGGUUCAAGGGGUCAAAGGUUUUUCGCUCUAAGAUGAGUCCGCGUAAGAUUAGCUAGUUGGUAGGGUAACGGCCUACCAAGGCGACGAUCUUUAACUGGUCUGAGUGGAUUAUCAGUCACACUGGAACUGAGACACGGUCCAGACUCCUACGGGAGGCAGCAGUAGGGAAUAUUGCACAAUGGAGGAAACUCUGAUGCAGCGACGCCGCGUGAGUGAUGAAGGCCUUCGGGUCGUAAAGCUCUGUCGCAGGGGAAUAACACAAUGAAGGUACCCUGUAAGAAAGGAUCGGCUAACUUCGUGCCAGCCGCCGCGGUAAUAC
rnacentral:rRNA from 1 species